rnacentral:tRNA from 1 species
GGGCCGGUUUCCUGGAUGGAUAAAAAUAGCUUGUCACUUAUUCUUUGCGGGUUCAAUUCCCGUCCGGUCCACCA